AGCUUGCUCUCUGGGUGACGAGCGGCGGACGGGUGAGUAAUGUCUGGGAAACUGCCUGAUGGCGGGGGAUAACUAGUGGAAACGGUAGCUAAUACCGCAUAACGUCGCAAGACCAAAGUGGGGGACCUUCGGGCCUCACGCCAUCAGAUGUGCCCAGGUGGGAUUAGCUGGUAGGUGGGGUAACGGCUCACCUAGGCGACGAUCCCUAGCUGGUCUGAGAGGAUGACCAGCCACACUGGAACUGAGACACGGUCCAGACUCCUACGGGAGGCAGCAGUGGGGAAUAUUGCACAAUGGGCGCAAGCCUGAUGCAGCCAUGCCGCGUGUGUGAAGAAGGCCUUCGGGUUGUAAAGCACUUUCAGCGAGGAGGAAGGGUAAUGUGUUAAUAGGACAUUGCAA
rnacentral:rRNA from 1 species